ACCGGAGUUAAUACCGGAUAAUAUAUUGAACCGCAUGGUUCAAUAGUGAAAGACGGUUUUGCUGUCACUUAUAGAUGGAUCCGCGCCGCAUUAGCUAGUUGGUAAGGUAACGGCUUACCAAGGCAACGAUGCGUAGCCGACCUGAGAGGGUGAUCGGCCACACUGGAACUGAGACACGGUCCAG
rnacentral:rRNA from 1 species